UGCCUUAGUAACGGCGAGUGAGCGGCAAAAGCUCAAAUUUGAAAUCUGGUACCUUCGGUGCCCGAGUUGUAAUUUGGAGAGGGCAACUUUGGGGCCGUUCCUUGUCUAUGUUCCUUGGAACAGGACGUCAUAGAGGGUGAGAAUCCCGUGUGGCGAGGAGUGCGGUUCUUUGUAAAGUGCCUUCGAAGAGUCGAGUUGUUUGGGAAUGCAGCUCUAAGUGGGUGGUAAAUUCCAUCUAAAGCUAAAUAUUGGCGAGAGACCGAUAGCGAACAAGUACAGUGAUGGAAAGAUGAAAAGAACUUUGAAAAGAGAGUGAAAAAGUACGUGAAAUUGUUGAAAGGGAAGGGCAUUUGAUCAGACAUGGUGUUUUGUGCCCUCUGCUCCUUGUGGGUAGGGGAAUCUCGCAUUUCACUGGGCCAGCAUCAGUUUUGGUGGCAGGAUAAAUCCAUAGGAAUGUAGCUUGCCUCGGUAAGUAUUAUAGCCUGUGGGAAUACUGCCAGCUGGGACUGAGGACUGCGACGUAAGUCAAGGAUGCUGGCAUAAUGGUUAUAUGCCGCCCGUCUUGAAACACGGACCA
rnacentral:rRNA from 1 species